CUCUCUCUCUCUCUCUCUCUCUCUGAGGCGACUCAUCCUCUCUCCGCACGGCGACUCAUCGCGGCAAGAUGGCAAGAGACGAAGCAUCGACCAUCCAUCCUAUGGUACAAUGUUAUUCUUUCGUCAUUGUAAUCUUUAUUUUCUUUUCCCUUUUGUUUUAGGGUUUUUUAAGGUUUUCUUUUUUCUUCGUUCGAAAUCAUAUGUCGUCGGCGGUCAUCAGCUCCCGAUCCGUCACAGGAAGAUUCGAUGCCGUCGGCGGAUCCCGGUGAGAACCCUGACGGCAGCGAAUCCGUCGGCGGCGGUCUCCCAAUCAGAAUCGCUGCCAGCGGCGGAUUCUUCCCGCUAGUGUCGGUGGAUUUGCCGCCGCCGUCGACGGAUUCUUACCGCAACCUUCCCCUGUUUCCUAUCCGCGCCUCCCAUCCUCCUGCCGCCGGGUUUCCCGCCGUCGUUCACUCCUUCCCUGUGUCCUCUCUGCCCCCUUCCCCCUGUCGCCGACGACUGUGAAGCCGGUUUCCGCCGCCGUCAGUAAGAACCCCAACUAUCGGGCCAUGACACCACUCUCUAACUUUCCAGUAAAACUUGUAUGCCUUCAGAUUUCACUCACUUCCCGUACUAUUUGAGAAUGGAACUUAUCACGUGAUUCUUCUGAUGAUAGAUAUCAACGGACCAAGAACAGUUCAAGGAAACAGAGAGCCAGGUCAAGGAAGAAGUAUAUUGGAUCCUAAGAUGGUAUCUCUCUCUCUCUCUCUUUCUCUCGUGUUGUAAGACAGACACCGAGAAAGAUGAAUUUAGAUUAAGAAGGCAAGUAUUUAGUGCACUGUGCAGGAAAAGCAGUGGGUUCUCAAGAGGAGUCUCAAAAUACAGAGGAGUUGCAAGGUUUAAAUUGCUAUCUUUUUGCUUGUUCCAAGUCUUAUCAAAUAGGAUAAACAUGCAUUACUAUUAUGAUUUAUGGUGAUGCUGAGCAGCUGACUCACCACCAUCCUAGUCUGCUUUCCUUUUCAUGCAGAUGUAUGAAGGUUAGGGCUGCCAUGACCUAAUUCUUGCUUGUUUGAGUAAAAGAGAAGAAGAAGAAGAAGAAGAAGAAAACUAUGGAGUAAAUGUUGACUUUGUAUCAUCAUUUUUAUGUUAAUUUUAUGGUAUUUAAAAUAUAUUUUUAAAAUCUUAGCAAGAAAAAUAAAGUCAAUAAGUCAAAACAAAAAAUACCACAUAUUUUAGGAAAGAAAAAUUAUGCCAGGUUGAUUAAUGAAAAGGUAAGUAAAUUUUUUAGACAUCUGAUGUGUUUUUAUAUUUACUAACAAUAUUAUAUUUUAUGUUUUGUUAGAAAGUCAAGAUAGGAAAGAAGUUAACUAAAGAUGAUGUUUUUAUUAUUGGUGAUGAAAAAAAAAAAAGAUAAAAUGUCUGUGAGUGAGGAUGCAACAAAAGUAAUUGUUUGUAUCACUUGAUCUUUUGAGAAAAGCACUAUAAAUAUUUUUUUAAUAAUUUUUUGAUAUUAUAUUAUUCAAAACUUUCAAGAGAAAAAUUCCCAAUCUGUAUAUGACAUUGGAUGCACUUAAUUAUUGGUACUAUGGUUUUUGUAUAACUUGAUCUAGUUAAUAAAAAAAUUAUCUUCCUUUUCAUGAAUUGUGAGCUAUCACUGUGGUUAGUAUGUAUAUCAUGGUUUAAUAUUAUGGUUGUCUUUUCAUUAGAUAAAUGUAUCUAUUUAUAUAAUUAUUAUAAUAAUAAUAAGAUGUAAAUUAUUACAGUUGAAUAAUUGUAGAAAUAAUUAAACUAUUACUGUGGUUGUCUUUUUGUUGGAUAAAAGCAUCUAUUACUGGACUCGAAUAAUCACAGUAAUAGCUAAACUAUUAUUGUGGUUUUCUUCGGUAGGGUAAAAGUAUUUAUUAUUAUAGUUGAAUAAUCAUAAUAAUAAUUAAAUUAAUAUUGUGAUUUUUAUUCAUAGGAUAAAAAUAUCUAUUACUGUAAUUGUGGAUCCGCAUUGAUAUAUGAAUUAUUUCAUUUAUUGAGAAAAAAAUAUUUAUUACUAUGGUUUGAAUCACCACAGUAAUUAAUAUAGUUAUAUCCUCACAAUGGCAUUUAUUAUUACGAUUUCUAACUAUAAGAAUAAGUCUUACUGUAGUUAAAACUAUAGGAAAACUCACGAGGAGUUGUCCACUGGGUAACGAGUGUAAUUGUAUGGUUUUAAUUUUUUAGAAUAUGUGAAUUCUAAAAUGUACCUUUGAGAGCAAUGGAGACCUAACGGCUUUACGAGUCUUUGAUUCUCGUACUUCUCAAUUAACGUGGAACUAAAUGAUCUUACCAUCAGAAUAUAAAUAAAAAUCGUAGUUCCAAGAUGACAAAGGUAUCUUAGUCGUACGAGAUGCUUUUGUACAUAGGUGCUGCUCUUUUAAUACUUAUUUGAUUAGUUUUGUUAUUAUAUUUUAAUUAUUAUUAUUUUUUUCCUUUGCCUCUUUCUUUUCUUCUCUAUUAUUACUCAAAAGAAAAAAAAGCGUCCUUAAUUUUUCAUCAAAUCGUUUGCAGCAGUAUUUUUUUUAAUUAAAUUUUUUUUAUUACAUCAAAUAACAUAAGUAAUGCUGAAUUCAAAUAUGAGGUUUAUUAUUUAUGCAACAUUACAUAAAUCAAUUUGGACAUCUCUGCAAUUACUAAUGACCCGAUCAUGUAAUUUCUACAAUCCUUUUCCUUGUUUUAUAUUCACCAACUGCUCGACAAAAUUCCCAUCGAUUCAUCUUCUCGCCAUCCAAGUAACAUCGAAGUUGCUUCAGCUAUCACCAUGAACAGACGCCAACUUUUAGUCCCAAAUGGGACAUCUGUCGUGCAACUAAUGCUGCAUGUUCACCUGUCACUGUCCACCCGCAUGACAGCUCGUCGAAGCCAUGAUCGAGUUGGAACCGAGUCUGAACGUACCGCUUUGUUUAUGCUCUCAGUGCCGAGUAGGUUACGACUUAUAUAUCACAGAUCGAGACGCGAGCCAUGUUUUAAUGAUACGAACGUGGCGCCUGUGCGACUUUAGGAAUCAGUCGACUCGGGUUCAUCAUAAUUGGAGCAGCUGUAGGCUUCUUGUUUGCUUUCUCACCCACUCCCAUUAGUCUGUUCAGUAAUAGCAGAUGAAAUAAUUAGAUAUCAGUCUAAUUAUUCUCGUAGCAAUAGCGUCAUCCUUACGUUUGAUCCAAAAGAACUCCAGCGCUCGUGUGGGAAAGGCGGACCCCACUGCGUUGACCAGUUGUUGACUUCGGAUACUAGCACUUUUACCAAACUCACUUAUCGAACCCAAUUUAUGUGGAUCACAUAAAUAACAUAUAUAUUAUUGGACGAAUUUCGAAAAAAAUUAUUAAGUUUGAGAAGUUCUUGUAGGCUAAUUUUUUUUAAUUAAGUCAAUUACCUCUUUUCGCUCAAAAUAAUCGCACACGAUACUGGCAUAAUCGUGCACAAAAGAUAAUAAGUGGCUAAUACUUUAUCAUCGUCGGACGUCAAUAGUCAUCUCCGUCUAGGCCUUCCUCGCUAGUGACGAAGGUUGCACGUCUUUAUUAUCGCUUGUAGACUCUCCUCAUCGUCGACUACAAGUGAAGAAGAAAAGUUGACUUGUAUACUUGCACCAUCGAUAGUAAGGAAGAGUGUUCUUGAUGGAAACAAAAUACAAAGAAGAUUGUAUUGAGUUAUUGAAAUAAUAUACAAUACUCCAUAUUUAUAUAUAUUAUAAUGAAGAAUUUUUCUCAACAUAGGAGGAUUUUCCAUAUUUCCUCAUGUAGUUGGGGAGAUCUCGGCUGUUGUUGAGAUUGUUAUCAUGGGAGAUCUUAAUUAUUAUCAUGCCCCCGCAAGAUGGUGCUUCUGUCAAGGACGUCGAUCUUAGACCGAUGUGAUGAAAGCGAUUUUUGAGUGAGAGGCUUCGUGAGAGAGUCCGCUAGUUGAUCAGCUGUAUGUACGUGAGAAACACGUAGUUGAUGUCUGACAACUUAUUCUUGCACGAAGUGAAAGUCGAUAUCGGGCUAUGUGUUUCAUGCGUGAGUGGAAUACUAAAUUGACGCAUAUAUAAAUGGCUCCGACAUUGUCACAAUAUAUCGUAGGAGUAGAGGUAAUGUUGAUGCCAAGUUCCUUGAGGAGAUUCAUGACCCAAUUGAGUUCUACAGCAACGGUGGCUGUAGCACGGUAUUCAGCUUUAGAACAUGCAACUGUCUUUUGCUUCUUAGAACUCCAACUGAUUGGAUUAGGUCAAAGGAAGAGAAUAUACCCCGAUAUAGAUGUUCUGUCAUCAAAAUUCCCUACCCAAUCAACAUUAGCAAAGGUGUGGAGAUGAAGGGAGGAGUGUUUGCGGAAAAAGAGGUAAUGAUUGAUAGUCCGUGAAGAUAUCGUAAAAUUCAUUUGAUUGCAUACUAAUGCAUAGUAGAUGGGCGAUGCAUGAAUUAAAAUAAUUUAUUGACCGCAAAUGAGAUAUCUGGAUGGGUGAGAGAUAAAUACUGUAAGGAGCCAAGGACUUGACGGUAUUGAGUUGGGUCUGUAGUAGGGCUUUCAUCACAUAGUUUGAGCGACUCGCAAGUAGACAGAGGUGUUGUAACUGCCUUUGCAUCUUGCAUGUUAGUUUUAGAUAAUAGAUCUUGAAUAUACUUUCGUGGUGAUAGGAAGAGCCCGGAAGAUGUGUAUGUUACUUCCACUUCCAAAAAAUAGCUCAAGGUUCCGAGAUCUUUAAGGGAGAAUCGAUCUACUAAAUGCUUGAGGAAUGCCUUGAUUUUCAUAAGAUUGUUGCUUGUGACAAUAAUAUCAUCCACAUAUACUAGAAGAUAUAUUAUAUUGCCACUUUGGUGAUGGAGAAAUAAGGAGGUAUCGGACUUGGAGUUGAUGAAGUCAAUUGAUGCAAAAAACGAGCCAAGUUCAGUGUACCAAGCUCUUGGAGCCUGACGAAGUCCAUAAAUAGCUUUUUGUAGUUUACAAACAUGCUUUGGAUAUCGAGGGUGGUUGAAGACAGGAGGUUGCUGCAUAAAGACAUCGUCAGUCAAGGUACCCUGUAGAAAGGCAUUGUUAACGUCGAGUUGACGUAAAUGCCAGCCUUGUGAGAUGGCCAAACUCAGAAUAAGUCGGAUUGUUAUGGGUUUAACAACAAUGUUGAAUAUCUCUGUGAAGUCAACACUAAGACGUUCAUGAAAUCCUUUGGCCACUAUGCAUGCUUUAUAUCUGGCUACGAAUCCAUAUGGGUUCGCUAGUAUGAAGAUUUUUGGGCUUGAGUAAUUGUGGUAGGUUCAGUGGUCUCUAACGAGGAUGUUGUGAUGAAAUGUAGGUCAAGAAUUUAUCGUGGUUUAAAGACGCCACUUUUGGAGCGUGUUGUCAUUGGAUGUCUAGAGGCUAUAAGGUGUGUUGUAGGUAUGGGCGGUGGAGAGGCACUAAACAUAGAUUAGGGUAGGCUGAGGGACUUCAGUGUCAUUGGUCCCAGGAGAGGAUAAAGGUAGUGAUUGUGUUUCCGAGGGAAUGUUUUCAGUCGUGGGGGAACCUUGUAAAGAAGGGAGAGGCUCAAUGGAAGGGGUGAGGAGCUAUUGCACCGGGAGAAUGAGAGAGUGUGGAUCAUGAGGAGAAGAACUGGAUGAUAUUAUGGGAGACUCGGUUGACGGGAUUGAUGGCGUACUCCAGUGAUGUAUAUGUGAUGGAGUAGGUCGCACAGUAGGAGACUCAGGGUUGUGAAACGGAAAGGUAGUCUCUAUAAAAAUAACAUGACGGGACAUAAAUACUUUUCGAGAUUAGGGUUCAUAGCAUCGAAAGACAUUAUGGUUAACGGAGUAUCCAAUGAAAACGCAAGGUUUAGAUUUUGAUAUUAUCUUAUGUAAGGCAUAGGGACAGUGCCAUGAAUAACAUAAAUAUCCAAACACUUUGAGUUUUUAAAUAUUUAGGGAUUUAUGAAAUAAUUUUUCAAAUGGUGACUCGUACUCGAGGACUAGAGUAAGCAUACGAUUAAUGAGGUAGACGACAGCUUGAAAGGCUAUAGUCCAAAAAGUUGGUGGUAUAGAGGCUUAGUGUCAGAGUGUGAGACCAGUUUCAACUAUAUGUCAAUGUUUUCAUUCAGUAGAGCCGAUGAGUUGAGGAGUGUGUGGAGAUGACUUAAGGUAUUAUAUAUCAUAAGCAGAUAGGCAGGAUGUGAGGGCUUGAUAUUCGCCGCCACCAUCGGAGUAAAUAGUUUUAAUUUUAGACCGAAAGAAGUUCUCGACAAAUUUUUGAAAGUUGGUAAAGACUAUUGAAACUUCAUAUUUAUGGUGAAAAUGGUAUAACCAUAUGUAUUUGGUGAAAUAAUAUACGAAAACCAUAUGUAUUUGGUGAAAUAAUCUACGAAAAUAACAUAAAACCUAAAUUUAUCAAAGGAAGUGAUUGGAGCGGGGCCCCAAACAUCAGUAUAAAUAACCGGGUUUAGAGCAGGAUAUAGAGGAUUUUUCAAAGGGAAGUCUAUGACUUUUAUUACUUGGGGAGUAACUCUUUGUUGAUUUGUGUGAUCAGGACGCCAAGGUUGAGGAUAAUUGAAGUAGCCGGGUUGUACUUCUUCUUAGAUUUUUUGACUGACUUGAGCUAUGAUGGAAGGUUCUGGCAACUUGUCCUCACGCUUGAGAUAUAUCUCAUAGUCAGUCAACUUAUCAUAAAGUUCUUCAAAUGACAUCGGUGAGUCGUGUGCCUGUAUUACUACUACCAAUUUCUUAUACUCAUCCCUGAGGUCGUUAAGCGUAUGGAUAAUGAUUUCUUCAUCACUAAGAUUAUGAUCUAUUAGGGCAAGUUAUUGAUAAUAACUUUUAUAUUUUAUAGAUAGUCAGCAAUAGCACUUUCUUCUUGUUUUGCUUGCAUGAGACUAGAUAGGAGACUAAGCAUACGAGUGCGCGAACGAUUUAUCAAGGUGAUUUGUAGUAUCAUAUGAAGAUAUGAGUGGGACAAGGGAUCCAACGAUUGAAGCUUAAAUUGCUUAAAGGAUGAGAUGAUCUUGACAUAACCAUAGUUUAUGGUCUGGAUUUGGUACUGGAUUGGGUACUUCUGGAAUAUUGAGCAUUGCCCGUGGACAACAAAGAGAGCCAUCGAUGUAGCCUAAUAGAUUAUAACCAAAUAAGAGAUUAGAAAAUUGAGUACGAUAAGUAAUUGUCAUCUUUGGAUGAGAAGGGGAUGAGAGUCGCAACAUUAGAAAUAAGGCUAGAAGAAAAGGUAACGUGGCUUCUGCAAGCAACAACGAUUACAGUAGCAGCGACACCACCGUCGCUGAACGUGUUUGCAGAUUGCAAUAUUGUGAGAUGCUGCAGCUUGCAGUUUUAGGAGAAGCGGGCGAUGCUGCAGCUUACGGUUUUGGGAGAAGUCGGUGAUGCUGUGGGCGCGGUCCCACUUUGGGAGAAGCCGGCGAUGCUGCGGGCGCAGAGUGUCCGACGAAUUUCUACGCGGCCGCGGGUGAGAUCGAGGAGGCCGACGAAGGGGAAAGAAGGGCCGGAAGGGGAGUUUGGAUGGGCGGCUGCGAUGGCUUGAACUCCGCCGGCUGGCAGCAGAUCAGCAGAGGACAGACGUCGGGGAUGGCGGUAUAGUCGUACACCUUGACGACCUCCUCGGCAGUGUUGAACUUACCAAGUCACACCCGGACGCAGCGCCAAGGAUCGCGGAUCUCCGCCGCGAACUUCCCACGGCCGCGGAACCGCUUCACGCUCUCGUCACGGGAGUAGAAGAGGAUCCAUUUGGUCCUCCUCGUUGUUCUCCUUCCGGAAGGGAAGGAAGAUGCAGCGGAGGAAGGGUGGCAGCGGCAACGAUGGCUGCGGGAUUAUAGCUCUGAUACCAUAUGGAAACGAACGAACUAAAUAGAAGUUGGGGAGAUCUUGACUGCUAUUGAAGUUGUUAUCACGGGAUAUCUUGACUGUUAUCAGUUUUCACUGUCGAGGAAGGACGGAACAUAACUUGCAGAUUCGCGAAGGUGAUAGAUGACGAGGGAAGAUGGAGAUAAAAAUAGUUUUUAUGUGAUUAGAAAUAUUUUAUAAAUUUUUUUACAAAUUGAAACGUUUUUGAGAAAUUCUAGAAGUUAGAAAUUUGUUUGACAAUUCGUCCUAUAUCAUUUAUGCAAUUCUUAGUCUUGCUUUCAACCUCGAAUAGUUAAGAACCACCGCCGGUCUCCUGUGGUGUCGACGUGGUGACCACGGUGGGUUUCAGCUCACGUGACGACAAGUCUCAUGCUUGAUGGCUAGGAUUGAAUCCUCUAACCGAUAAAGAUUUAUAACCGCAUGAUCUUCAACCGUCAACAUCGCUUUCCGCGGUCAAAACCCAGUACAGUGGUGGGUUUGGCCGACACAGGCCACGUAAAAGAAACCAAAUUUGCCUUCUCAAGCUAACCAUGAUGUUGGAGAUCUUACGAGACGCGCAAAUAUGAACCUGUAGAUUCGCCCAUCUUCCAGCGUGAUCAAAGCUUUACCCUCUUCACAUGGAACUGUAGUUUCUGAGGCAGAUCUUGACUGGGAAAGGGUCAGAUUGGAAGCUCUGGUGAUGCAGAACACCCAUCUUUCUCUUCGCAUCCCCAACUGUCCCCUGCGUACCUAACAUGACCCAUUAAUUUCGUUCCCGUGUUCAUACUCCUCCGAGAAGUCGAGCCAACAGCGGUCUUCGACGAACGGAAUUGGAAGAGAGCGGCGAUUCGUACGAGGCAACGUCGAAGAUGCCAUCCCUGAGAAAAAUUUCGUCUCUCGUCGCGAGUCUUCCGCUUCCUUCCCCAUGCGAUGACUGACUGUAACUCUGUCGAUAGCCAGGGUAGACUGCAGGAGCUGUCGAGAGCGGAAGCAGUGAAGACCGAAGAGAGAGUUGGAAAUUUCGUGGAAGCAGUUGCAGGUGUGAUGUAUAGUCCAAGAAGAAGGACAAGCCACAGGUGCGUGUCUACGCAGGCAAAUCACUCCGUGAUCCUAAAUCGUGUGGGUAAAGAGGAAGGCUCCACAGCGAAGCAACAGGUGGCAGAAGCGGCGUCUCACCCGGUUCCCACCUGACGCAGUUCCUCCUCCUCCCCUGUCAAAUCAGUUCUCACUCGCGAGGUUUUCUUACCUGGGUCGGUCUUUAAAUCCUUAUCCUCGCUUCCAUUUCGUUCUUAGUUUCUACCUUUGCUUUUCCCCCUCUGUUAGGAUUUCAGCUCGAUUCAUGAUUUCUCGUCUUCGAUCCACCUGAGUUCUUGUCGGAAUUCAUAUCCCCUUCUCCGAAACAUGGCAUGCUUUGGCUACUUCAAGAAGAAGCCGAACGGUGCACCGGAGAGGAGCAGUGCCCCCGCCACGACGCCUGCGACUACUACUUCCUCGAGUUUUAGCACCAGCCGGUCCGACGAUUCGGCCGCCGGAAGGCGUUGGAGCAGGUCAACGGGGUCUACGACGUCACAGAAGAGCAUUCCGGCUUUGUACGAGGAGAGGGGCCACAAGCUGCGUGUUUUUGAGCUGGAUGAACUGAGGAACGCUACCAAUGACUUCAGCAGAAUGAAUAAGAUUGGGGAAGGUGGGUUUGGGAGAGUCUACAAGGGUUAUGUCAGACAUCCGGAUGGAAUUGGGGGCAGGAAGCUGGUGGCCAUAAAGAAGCUCAACCAAAAAGGCUUGCAGGUAUCCCCUGUCACCUGUUCAUCCCUGUGAUUAUAGUCGAUUUGAAUCUAACUGUGAGCGCAAGCACCACUGUUGUUGUCUUUUCAUGCUGCACAAAAUUGCAUUAACUGAUGGAGAUACCUUCAGAUUGGUGAGUUACAAGCUAUUUAAGCCUUGAAAGUUGAAAGCAUAUUGCAUCUAUCCUGCAAACCUAGAGGAGGAAGGAAAACUUUUGGUCUGUAUAUGCAUCUAAGAAGUGAAUUAUCAUCAUUUUAUUAUGUUAUUGAGCACAGCUAUUAGGAAAAAAGAAAAUUGCAUGGUGUUAACAGGAAUGAAAGAUUUUGGUAGCAGUGAAAGGAGGGUAAGAGAGGAAGAGUUGAAGAUCUCUGUUUGAUCGAAACAACUUAAAAGAGACAAUGGAAAGAACAAAGAGAACAGAUGUUGCCUGUAAUCUAAAUAAGUGGCUAUGCUGGUUUAUGUUUGCUUCUUCAGAUAGUUGGAUUGUAACAUUGCAUCUGUUGGUGUUUUUAGGUAAUUAUAACCUCUUGAAAAUUCAUGAUUGUCAUCUAAUGCUGAUUGACCUGAGUUUGGCUUGAUUUAAAUCGGUAGGUUUAUCGGAGGGUUUAUACACAUCUUCUGUCACAUGUCAUUGCAUCUUUACUUGUAAUGACAACUUUUUAUGCAUAUAUAUAUGAAAUGACUUUCUCCUUAUAUAUUAUCUAGCAAUGCUAAUAUUUUUUCAACACUUAGGGUCAUAAGCAAUGGUUGGCAGAAGUUCAAUUUCUUGGAGUUUUUGAGCACCCAAAUCUUGUGAAGCUUCUUGGUUACUGUGCACAAGAUGAUGAGAGAGGGAUUGAAAGGCUAUUGGUCUAUGAGUUUAUGCCAAACAAGAGUUUGGAAGAUCAUCUAUUUAGCAGGGCUUAUCCUCCUCUUCCCUGGAAUUUGAGAUUGCAGAUAGCUUUGGGUGUGGCUGAAGGCUUAGAAUACCUACACGAGGGAGAAGUUCAGGUACCGUCUCUUCCUUUCUCACUAGUUUUGUUGCUUGCUUCCUUUGUGCCAAUAGGCUCUUCCUCUGGUCCUGCUGCAUUUUGAUACACAAAACCUUCCCUUCUUGUGUAUAUCUGACUUCUUGUGAAGUUUAUUCAGCUGACCCUAAGAAAUGAUCAUAUGAUUUGUUGUUGUCUUUCUUCUAAACUAAAUAAAUCAUGAGGUACACUUUUCACAUUCGGGUCUUACAUGUAGAAACACUACUCUGAUUGAGAUGCCAAUCAGAGAAUCCCAUUUCAUGUCCUUUUGCCUGGAUUUUGCAUCCUCUAAGUUCCUACUGAAUUCUGAUCGCAACUUAAAUAUGCUGCAAAUAAUAGCAGAAUUUGUUCGUCUCGCAGCAGUUUCACCAUCCUCAUCAUAUCGUUUUACAUCACUUAUCCUGACAGAAAUUUGUCAAAGAGAAAGAGAAAAACAAUAGAUCUGACACUGUUCAUUUCCUGUCUUCUUUUAAUAGCACAAAUCUAGAAUGCUCAGGUUUCGAUUGGCAACUGCAUUAAUUUGAUGCCUCCAACAUUAAGAGUAGCUAAGUAUAGAGGAAUGGUGGCAGUACUAAUUCAAAUGCAAUUCAAAUUAGCAUAAGCCAAAGAGAGCUUUUGCACUUGCCACUUACCUGAUGUAAAGACUGAGAGAACAAAUGAAUAUUUCCUCUCGUUUUCUCAUUGUUCACCUUGGAACAAAUGAAUAUAUUCCUCUUGGGUCAAUUAUUCAGUAAGAUGGAGAGAUUGAUGAAGAUGUCAUUUAUAGAGUAAAAAUAGGAUGGUUAAAAUGACGAGGGGCGUUAGGAGUCUUGUGUGAUCUUCGAAUAUUGUUGAGAUUGGAAAAAAAUUAUAAGACAAAUGUAAGACCAACAAUAUUAUAUGAUUUUAAAUGUUGGGUAGUUAAAAAAUAAUAUAUACAAAAAAAUUGUGUUGCUAAGAUGAGAAUGUUGAUAUGGAAGUGUAGAGUUACUAAGAAAGACACGGAAAAAAUAUUUUUAUUCGUAAAUAACUAGGUAUCAUUUUGAUAGAGAUAAGAUGAGAGAGAAUCGUUUAAGAUAAUAUGGGCAUGUGCUUAAAAGACCUAUGGAUAUGAUAGUUAGAAGAAGCGAAAUCAUUAAUGUUAGUAGCAAGAGGAGAGACAAAUAAGGACCUAAAAAGACCUUAAUGGAAACCAUAAUUAAUGACUUAAAUACUCUAAACUUAACUAAGCAUAUGACUUUUUAUACAUCUCGAUGACGACAAAAGAUUCAUAUAGCUAACUCCAAAUAGUUGGGACUUACAACUCUAUUGCUGUUGUUCUUCUUCUCAUCGUUCACCUCUCCCUUUCUCUCACACUCUCUUCUUAUCUGUGUAGAACCAUAUUGACUAUUUGCACCUCAAUAUCUAUAUUGACUAUUCUUCUUAUCUGUGUGUGUGUAUAUAUAUAGUUUCUUUGUGAUGUUUGAAUAAGCUUCCUAGUCAGACUCUUGCAGAUACUGGACAAUUGUGUGAGCAUUAGCUUCUAUCAAAAUGUCAUGAGUAGAAUACACAUUCAUGUACAAAGAUUACAUCUUGUAGAACCUGAUUUGGUGCCUAGUUCUUCUUUUGUAGCAUAUGCAUUAAUUGGCUUGGGGUGUGCAGCUCUUAUCAAAAUCUUAUAUUUGAACUCCAUUUCUCGGAAACAAUUUAGUCUUCAAUUCCAUUUCAAAAGGUAAUGACAUUAUUACAAGAACAGGGGACAGUAAUGUAAAAACUACAGAAACUAGCAAAACAGAUGAUAAAUGCGUACACUCUUCCAUUAGUGCCCUAUCUAAGGUUCAUAAAGAUUAUGCAAUUUGUCUCUUUUCUUGUGCCCUCUGUCAAGGUAAUUAGCAAAGACAAUGACAAAAGUAUCAUGACAUUGUUCUAGCUUCAUCAUGCUUGAAUUUGCCUCCCUUUUUUUCUUUUGUAUUACAUCUUGUAUCAGUUUAAAUUGGCUUAUUGAGAGAUAUAAUUCAGUUUUUCUGACUUGGAGCUUAUAAUAAAUAUUUUCUACGUAUUUUGGCAGGUGAUAUACCGGGAUUUUAAAGCAUCAAAUGUAUUGUUAGACAAAGAUUUCAAACCAAAACUAUCAGACUUUGGCUUGGCACGGGAGGGACCAACAGCUGGGCACACUCAUGUGACUACGGCGGUAUGUGUACUUUGCUGAAUCAGUUGACUUGCUAUCUCUUUUCAUAAACCUUCAGAUAAAUUAAUAAGAUACUCUCCUCAAGCUUGAUAUAUUCAUGCCUCAUCUGUCUUUUCUCUUCCCCCCUUUUAGUAGUAUUAUGUUCAUGGUCUAACAUCCCAAUAAAUGAUUGGAUGACUAAUUGUUGCUGACUUAACAUUGACACACCUUUAGUUUGAGUCUUUGGUCAACUUCUUACUGUAUGAUGUCUGGGUUUCAGUAAUCUUCAUUGAUAACUAUUUAGAUUUGCUACAUCAAUCCUUUGUUGCUAUUCAGACUUGUUAAGGCAACAUUCGUAAACAAUCCAAGUGCCAUUAUGUCCUUUUUCACUACUAAUUGGAAGAGCUCAUGCUUCCAUUGACAGGUUGUAGGCACGUAUGGAUAUGCAGCUCCAGACUACAUAGAGACGGGACAUCUCACAAUUAAGAGCGACGUAUGGAGUUUUGGAGUGGUUCUUUAUGAAAUCCUUACAGGCAGGCGUUCGUUAGAGAGGAAUCGGCCACCAAAUGAGCAGAAGCUUUUGGAAUGGGUGAGGCAAUUCCCCGUAGAGACCAGGAAGUUCAGCAUGAUCAUGGACCCGAAACUAAGAAAUGAAUUCUCCCUCAAAGCUGCACAUGAAAUAGCUAAGUUGGCCAACAGAUGCCUGGUCAGGGAUCGUAAAGAGCGUCCAUCGAUGAGUGAAGUCGUAAAGUGUUUGAGAAGAGCCAUACAGAUGGAGCCCCCAGUGAAAGAACUUACUCUACCGACGGAUUCAAACAGGAGGAGAAUCGAUGCUGAAUCUUCAAGGAGGUAGCUGUUUCAUCAGCUAAAUCGAGGGCUGUGGUCCAUAUGGUUACAAGGAGAAUGCAUUUUGCAAAUUGAAGGCUUCAAGUUUCAGAAAAGUAAACGAGGUGGUAUCGGUUUCGGUACCGAAUUAUAUUCCUUAUGCAACUUGGAAGUAUCAAUUUAGCUGAUAUGUAAUUAUCAAAUUUGUUUGCUUUCUUCUUCUUCUUUCUUCGACUAGUGUAUGUAACUCAGCGAGUAGCAGAUUAGAAUCAUGAGUUCUAGUUGGAUUGUAAAAGACCUGGCCGAAUAAGCUUGAACUUGCGAGUUGCACUUUGCUUGUACUUGAUGUAUCAAACCAGUUUGGUGGAUUGUCUUCCCUUGUUUCUCACGACCUCCAACAUGAAAUUAGCAGUACAUGACACUGUAGAAAGAGGGCAAAAGGGUAUUCUGACUGGAACUAUAAUUGUCUGCACAAAUCGAAGAAUAAUGUGUUCUCUGGUUUUAUUGAUGGGGAAACAAAAUAUCUGUUCUAUGCUCUCGGUUGUAUCAUUUCCGUAUCAAGACUUGGGUCGGUUCUAUCAAAAAAUACUUGAGCUAAAAUUAAUAAUAGUAUAGAUCUUUAUAAAUCAAUAUUAGUCUUAUCCACUUUUAAUAUAAAACUACUCUAGGUAUUACAAUUUUUUAUACUUAAAAGGACUCGACAACAGUUCACAUCGUGACAAAUCUUCUUACUUUACCCACAUGUAGCCUAGAUCAAAUUCUAAUCUUCUUACUCUAUCCACGUGUAACCUAGAUCAAAUUCUAACACGAUACAUGUGAAGGAUAGUUCAAUUGACAAAUCAUUGGACUUGAAGUUUUGAUAUCAAGUAACACAAUUGAUCAAAAUAUUUAAAUAAUAGUAUAUUUAUCAAACCCUUAUAAUGAAUCUUAGUCUUAUCAUUUUUUACGUGCAACUAAUUAAGAUUUACUCGAUCAGAUUAACUACUAAAAUUGAAAAAAAAAAUUUCCUUAAUCCAAGACUAGGCUUCUUACCACAUAUCUUGAGUUCGAUUACAUGGCAGACACGAUUCAUAUCAGAUACUCUAUGAUGUACAACGCAUCACCAACGUAUGCUAACCACUGUGCUGACACAUUGGGGUGCAUGCAACGUAGCCUCGACGCACUGCUGACGCACGCCCCCUUCAACCGGUACUCGACUUAGGACCGAGUCAAAUGGGGCUGUUUCCCCCACAAUUCACUGUGAGAUGACGACGUUGGUGAUGAAAUGUUAGAGUAAGAUUGCAACAAAAGCGCAUCUAAACUCCUUUAGGUUAGCACAUCAUCUACCAUUGCCAUCACAUCAGAAGAACAAAACACUGGUCAGGUCAUUGCAGAUGCGCGGCUGCUAUCAACGGGGAUGGCUUGUUUGCAGAGAGAGAGAGAGAGAGAGAGAGAGAGACGGUGGUAGGUGUCUUAAAUACGAGGGGUUUGGUGGGUGGGGGUAGCUCCGGAAGCCUCAAGCCGGAGGGGAGAUGGGGAGGCGACCGUGCUGCGACAAGCUCGGGGUGAAGAAGGGGCCGUGGUCGACGGAGGAGGACAAGAAGCUCAUCAGCUUCAUCCUCACCAAUGGCCAUUGCUGCUGGCGCGCCGUCCCAAAGCUCGCGGGCCUGCUGCGGUGCGGCAAGAGCUGCCGGCUUCGGUGGACCAACUACCUGCGCCCCGACCUCAAACGAGGUCUGCUCAGCCCCGCCGAAGAGCAGCUGGUCAUCGAUUUCCAUGCUCGCUUGGGGAAUAGGUUCUCUCUCCUCUUCUCCCUGCUCUGCCUUCGAUCACGUCUACCGAGGCGUGCAUGCAUCAAAAUCACACACGUUCAACACAUAAGAAACAAGCAGCAUAUCAAUCUUCUCACUGCAUCUACCUUUUGCUGCGUUAAAUGCAUCACAAACAUUGAAACAUAACGUGAUCGUUUGUCAUGAUCACAUCAAUUGGCAUAAUAUUUCAUUGUCAUUAUCCGUCCAUUCCGUAGAACUCAGCAACAGUCAUUUAUUUUUAUGUUUCUCCUGUGUUCUGCCUCAUCAGAUACAGCGAUCGAUCUCCUGUUACAGUUCAAGCUUUGACUACUGUUCUCUCCUGCUUCGGUUCCGUUGACAACGAGCAUGCUCCAUGACAAUUACCUCGAUUUGACUCCAUGCAGGUGGUCAAAGAUUGCAGCAAUGUUACCAGGAAGAACAGACAACGAAAUCAAGAACCUGUGGAACACACACAUCAAGAAGAAACUUGUUAAGAUGGGCGUCGAUCCAGUCACUCAUAAGCCACUCGACAGGAAAGCGAACUCCGUCUCCUCACAGUCCACUGCGACGACGGAAUCGAAGUCCGACCAGCAGUUACAAUCACGAGGAACCGACGGUCAAAUCCAGUCGUCGGAGAACACAUCAAGUCCAACGGAAGCAAGCUCGAACGCUGAUGGCGCAGACCCGCUGUUAAGCUGCUUGUGGGAGGACAACACGUCACUGCUGGAUGAGCUGUGGCAGUUUCCCAGCAACGAGGACGUGGAUUACGGCAGCGUCGCCGGGCCAGUAUGGCCGUGGGACGAAGGGAGCUGCGAGUGGCUGCUCGAUGACCAGGCUCUUGGGUAGGAGAUGUGCAAGUGGCUUGGCAAUUGUAGGUAGACAAAAGCAAAACUGAGUUCUCCGCGUAGUGUACAAGUGUAGAUUGCUCCUAAUAAGCUUGGUUAGGGAAGCAAGCUUGGAUCCCUUGUUCCUGCAAAGUGGAAGCUGGAUCACAACGAAGCUACUCUUCUCCUCCUCCCUCUGUGUGUGUGUCCGGGUAGAAAGUCAUGUACAGUUAGUUCUCCGGAGAACUUUGUCGUCGUCCAGAUUGAUCCUGUGAUGUACAAGACUGCGCACAUCAAAGGUGUACAUUUAGCUUAGCAUUCAACGUGGAUGGACGAAAUCUAUGGAUCUGGAUGUCAUGAACAAGGAACAUUGGAUGUCUCUUAUGACUCCACAGUAGCAAAUUUCAAAGUAUGGAAUCAAGUGUGAUCAGUUCUUCCUAGUUUGCUGCCUUGUCCUAGUUGGUCUGUUCUACAUCGUCAACCAUCAAAACAUGACGCGGUGAGGUGGAGGAUGAUAGUCUAGCUUGAUCAUAUGAUAAUUAGACUAAAUUAAGUGUAUAGAGUGCGACACAAGUGCUGCAAAAUGUUAUCCAAUUGACUGCAUUUAAUAAUCUGCCCUAAGGUUCACUCUUUAAACAUUAAAAUAUAUAUAUAUAUUCUCUGCCUUACUAUGUUAGAGAUUAGGUGAAAUAAGGAGAAAAAAAAAAACACGACGGUCGAUAAGAAUUUUAAGGAAUAGUUCUCAUAAAAAAAUAAAACUACUACUCAUGAAUUAUCUUUUAAGGCAUCUAGAAAUAAUGUUGAUACUCUCUAGGUUUUUUUUAGAGAAAUAUAUAUAUAUAUAUAUAAUUUUUUUUAUGUGACAACAUACGUAUGUAAGGAGAUUUGUGCUUGAAUAAAGAUAAAAACUCGAGGGUCUUAUAAUUAAUGAAGAAUUUAUUUUUGACCGAGAGUUAUAUAAUCAUAUUAAUUUUGCAUCGAUUUUAUUUUUUAUAUGUUCUUGAUUAUUAUUCUUUAUAAUUUAUUUUAAUUUCGAGUUUUCUCUCCCUCAAAAUAUUUAUACCCAUGAGUUGAUAUCGAAAGCUGUGGAACCACAUUAAUUUGUUUUUAUAUAUUGGUCAUGAUGGAACACAUGGCGAAGGAUUUAGCAGUUAGCGUGAGAGGUGGGAAAAGCUACAGCGACAAGAACAAUCCACAGCGUGGUGCGAUUGGACGAGGAGAAGAAGGAUUGUUUGCUUUAGAAUCACACGUAGAAAAUGAGCAAGAAUUCUUGCACGACACACCGCAGGAAGUGGCGCAUUCGAGGAUGAAGAAGAAGGAAGCUGAAACAAGAAAUGUGGGCCUUGCAGAUGAAAGCUAAGCAUCACCAACAAAAUGGUCGAGAUGAAGCGAAGCUGGAUGUGCAGGAGACAUGGAUGGAAAACGAUGACGGUGGGACAUAAGAAGGCAACCUGCCUUGGGAGCAAUGACCGAGGAGCUAAGAACAAGUUCUCAGCUGCCAGGAAAGGUUAAAUUUCCAAGCUGCUGAGUUCCAUCUGCUGAACUAUCUAUCAUUAGGUUUGGUGAAGGCACAUCAGUUUCUGGGGGAUAGGACAAGGUUGGUUGGCUCAUCCUUUUCCAAGCAUGCAUACAGCAUGGACCUUCACUGCUAGGCAACCCAUUGGUUGAUGUUCUUUGGCCACCAUUUCAACCUCAACAAUAAUAAAUUUAAUAUCUCGGUUUCAGUGAGUAAAGAUUUAAAUUAAUAUAUUAUUAUAAAUCUAGAUAUAAAUAUUUCAUUAUGUCUUUUCUGUUUGAUGGAUUGACGGGUUGGACGUUUUUUUCUUCUUUUUUUAAGACAAAGGAUAAGUGAUGAAGACGAAAUAAAUGUUACGAUAAACUUUCAAAGUCAAUUUAAUUAAUCUAUUAACGAAGGCAAAAUAAAGAUGAGAAUAGGUAGGGGAAAGAAUAUUGCGAUUGAUUAUGUUUGUGAGUAAUGAUUGUUUGGUUUUGACUAUUUGAUCAUUCGUGUUUGUUUUUAAUAUUUAAUGGAUGAAAAUAGGAUCGAUAGGUGUUGUCAAUCAAAAUCUAGAAAGAGACUAUAAUAAUAGAAAAUGAAGAAAUCCAAGAAUGUGUAUAUGAAGUUAGGAGGCGUGAAGAAUUAGAUGAAGUUGAAAAAUGAAGAUGAAUGAGAUUUAGGAACAAAUUACUCGUUUUGUUUGUCCGAUUUAGAAGACCAUUAAGGGUUGCAUGCGAAGGCAGAUUAAACUUGUUGAACAAUUUAAUUUUGUAGAAGCAGAUGAUUUCUUUAUACAUGGAAUAAAUAAUAUGGCAAUUUAAGAUCUAUUGCUUUAGGUUUAGGUGUUGUCACACACACCACUUCAUUAGGUGAUCCAUCUACUGUGGUAUGUCCUCAAGAUAUCUCAAACUAGAUUGAUGUAGGGAACUGGUUUAUUGUUCUCUCUAUAUCGCAUCAGUUUUCUUCUCUGAAUUAAACCUGGUUUUCUAUGUUAACACAGGAGUCUUUAUCGAAAUUGAUCUCAUCUUGUUCCCAGGUGUUACCUGUUGAGAAUCACAUGAAACAAUCAUGAUGAUAGAGAUUGGUAGGAUGUAUUUUUCUUCCGAUGUUCUAUGUAAUUUUCUAUAUAUUUCAAUAGCUAUGUUUGCAUGUUUUUUCCGAGUGCAAAUACUUCCAUAUUUAAGAUUUUCUAUUUUUGUUUCCAAGUGCCAUGUUUGAAAUUUGAGCAUCAGAACCUACGAAGAGGGAUUCUGACUGAAACAGAAGUGUGAACCACUCAGAAGUGCAACAUUUAUAGCCAAGUCUUCAAGUUUAUCUUUGACAUGCUGUCAAACAGAAGUUUGAUGUCUCAUUUGUGUUGUGGAGAUGUACCUUGUAGCAACAAGGAAGCGGAUCCAUUUAUGUGCUUGCGGCACAUACUUGUUGACAAGGAACAUAUGUCCAUCUGUUGUCGCGGAACACCAAUAGUGCUAGUGUUCCUUCUUCUUGUCGGUGGAGUGUCUGAAUCCUUAUUUGAAGGAUCCCGAGAUGAAUGUAUCUCAUUCCACUUCGGAUCAGUUGGUCAAAACUUUGUUCUUGUAUAAAAGCCCUGUCUUCCUGGUUAUGGUAAAUUGUCAUUUGACACGUAUUCAAUAUACGAAAGCUAUCAUCGAAGAAAAAGUUUCAUCACCUUCCACCUAUCCAUCCUCGUAGACAAUAGUCAUAGGCAGGCCGUUCGGGAUUGUCUUUUGUCUAUAGCUCACGUGGACAAAAUGUCAAGAGAGAGAGAGAGAUGUUGGGGUAGUUAGAGAUUGUCCCCUUCCCAUUCCCAAGUAUAAAAACUAAUCAUUAACGUUAUAUUAAGUUAUUAUUUUCCUAAGAAAAAUCUUUACCAACUAAAGAUCUCAAUCAUUAACCUGAGGAUCGAAGAUAUUAUAUUGUAAAAUUUAUUUCGACAUCGAUUUUAGUGUAGGUGGUGUCUCGACGGCUCGAUACUUCCUCCUCGGAACCAUAUCAGAGGAUACCUUAGUCACCACCUCAGAUAUUCUUGCAUCCUCGAGUUCAGAUCAUGUCAAAAUCUCCUAACACAUGUUGAUACUAAACUAAGUGAACGAAAAGGUUACAGCUGAUUUAAAACAAUGCCAAAAACCAGCCAUAUUACACUCAGCUUUAUAUAUUAUUGAGUCCAAACCAGUAUUCUUGCCCAAAGGGAGUUUUAAUCGUAAUCCGAUGAGGAAUAUAUUUGUAUUUUCAUCAUUAUUUUGAGAAGGUAGUGUCCAAAAGGCUCGAUACUAGUGAAGUAUACGAGUUAAAAUUCCGUAAGCUGUUAAAGGCUCAUAUGAAAGAAAAUUUAUCAGGAUAUGAGUUACGUGUUUCUUUCUAAAGGAAGAAUAAACCUUCCUUGACAAGGAUAGCCUUCGAAUUAGCCAAUCAAACUUAUAUUUCUGUAUCACAUUUGUGAUUGGAUCUAUGUGGUUUGCAAAUUACAUAAAUCAUUUUGACUGUUAUCCGGUCUUCAUCCUAUUUAUGACUGGAAUAGGAUUGGGUUUAACAAAGGUUACUUGAUAAAUAUAAUUGAUGAUUGACUAAUGACUUUGAUUUAUUAUAUUUAUUUUUUUUUGUGUAUUUGUAUUUGAUUCUCUCUCCUAAGCAACUAGAGGCAAUAUAGGAAUUCAUGAUGCAGAAUCUAACAAUUGAGCUUUUUAAACAUUUGAUUUCAUGUGUCCGGUUGAUUUUUUUGUUUUCAAUUCUAUUACGAAGAUUAAACCUUGGAAUAUAUUCUGUUGCAUUCAGGAAUGGCGGAUUCAUAUACCAUACAAAUAAGCUCUGACCUAAUGAGUCAACUAGCUGCUGAUGAAAAGAAGGUGAAGAAGAAAACCAGGAAACACAGGCCAAAGAUCUCAGAGGAACCUCCAUCAGCCACAGGCUCCCACAGCGCACAUAAGACCACCCCUCCAGCGUCCCAUGCUGUUGCCAGUACCCCCAAUUUUCAAUCUCAGAGUUGGAGUCAAUCGGUUCUGUCCUCCAGGAGAGUGAAAGAACUAUGGAGAAACUGGAAUAGCCAGAAGAAGAUAAUAUGAAUCAGGAGCUUACUCAGAGAGCAUGAGACUGAACAGAACGAUUCUUGUAUGUAUGUAUCUAGCAAUAGCACCGAUACCCACUUUUCUCGAAAUCCAAAAUAAAAAGAUCUCGACAAUAAAUCUCAAAACUCAUCAUAUAUCAUAUCAGUGUAGCGUACCAGAAAUUUUCAUACAUAGGAUGCUAAGUUAUGCAUCAACAAUAUGUAUAAGAAUUUUCCAAAUAGAAUAAAAUUAACAGGAAUAUUAAAAUAAGAAUAAAGGUUAAAAGAAGAUCACCUGUUAUUCUUUUCCUUCUCCCUCUUCUUUCCUUUUCUCUCAAUUUUCUUUCUCUGUUUACUUGCAGGGUUGCAAGGAUCCUUCUCAAGCAGGGAAAUGAGAGAUGGUUGAUAGACUACUGCACUUUAGUCCAUUACAGGGCAACAAUAUCAACAAGUAAGUCCCUGAAACGUGACUAACCGCUUGAUGGCAUAGUUUCUGAAAUACUCAUAAUUAUAUAUACAUCCCUAGCAAGUCAAAAUACAUCUCUUCAUUUAAAACUGGAUCUGACAAGCAGGAUUUUGCUUUUUGGGUUUCUGAAAUAAAAGGUGUAGCCAGAAAUUUUGUAAGAAUAGAAACACCAGUGUGAUCCCUCGAUAGUAGAAAACGAUUUCAACGUAACUGCUCGUCAAGCAAGCAUCCAAGAAUGUUGCAUCUCACCUGCUCGCUAGUUAAUGGAGUCCACCAGCCAGAUAGGUAUGGUCCCAAAGAGAAGAAAACCUUAUCAUUGUCGGCCAACCAAUUGUGCAGCUUGUUGGAUUCUCUAUGAACACUGAUGAGAGCCACCUUGCAGUUACUUUCUUCUGAUGAGCCCUCCCCAGUAGCAUGCACCUCGGCCUCCCCUGCAUGUAAGGGAACCCCAAUUAUAUUCUCAAAUGAUACAUGUAAAGAUGAUCUUAGAUGUAGUCGCACAAGAUGAUGUUCUUGCAGAAUAAGUACCAAGAGUUCUGAUGACACGAGAAACAAUUUUGAACUUUGAUGAAGAAACUCUGCUUCUUAGGGUGCCACAUCAUAACAGCACCGCUGUUUAUCGUUUGCUUGAAGAACAGGAGCGACAAUACAUCAUCUAUUCUCUGGUGCACAUCUUAACCUGCAAGAACUCUACAGAAAACUAGUAUGUGUUGGAUAUCACAUCUGAUUCCCUAGAGCAUUCCAGCUCCAACUUCUCCCGAACACGCUGCAUUUCACUGAUCCCAAAGGUUCGAUUUGCUGAGAGGAACAAAAACAGCUAAAACGCAAUAAGAAAAAAAAUAAACAUAAAAGAAACAAUAAAAUGAAUAUAAGACGGUCAACUACCUGACCGGAUGAACUAUAAAGAUGCAAUCAGAACAGCAACAGCAAUGGGUCAACUGACUCAUGGAAUUACUGAGAAACAGAAUAUGUAACACUUGAAGAUGGACUUGAACUCCACAGUUUCACUAUCGUACAAGAUUUCACCAUGAGCUUUCCUCAAUUGUUGGUUGGACGAUCUCACGUUUGGAAAUAUGAAGAUGCUAUCUUGAAAUGAUCCUCUGCAGCAAAUUCAUCUAUGACACCUAAGGAGAUAAAAGUUUUGACUUUCUUGUUCAUCUAUCUACCUAUUUUCAGACUCCAGCCUGGUUUGACAAGAACAAAUCUAUCGCUAACCAUUUGCUUUACAGAUAAACAAGGUAACCCAGUGUCUCAGGCUCUUAUUAAUAUGCAUCUCAAACUUAUGCAGCUAUUCUAAAGUCUAUUUCCACAGCUAAAACAAUUAAUUCCCAGGCCAUAAUGGCUCAAUAUUAGUUCGCAAAAAAGGGUCAUCCUCCUAAUUUAAAAAUUGAUUCGAAAUAGUUUUUAAACCAAAAGUGAAUAAGUUUCACACGAACAAGUGAAAUGAUCAAGGAACCAUUCUCCUGUGCAUAUGAAAUAGAAAAAGGAAAACUAGAUAUUGCUCUCAUCCACCAUUAUAUCAGUAUGUUCAGGCACAUUAACACCAUGGUAUUUACAACCAUUUGAUCCACAGAUAACUAGUGCGAUAGUGAGCAGAUUAAUUAUGCCUAAAUAGGCAAGCAUAACUUUUCUCAACAACCAACCAAAAUGGGACAUACUUCAUGAAUCAUCAGAUCAUGAAUGAAUAUCAUUUUAUUUAAUAAUUCACAUUAACUAUUAGAUACUAUAGCCCUUCUGGUUUAGCUAGAUUCCCUUUUUUUUCAAGGUUCUGUUUUCUACAAGUCUACCCAGGCUUUUAUGCAUUCGAUAGCUUAGCCUCUCUCAGAAAAAUAAAUUUUACACUCAUGUACUGAAGUACUGGCCUCAUUCUCAACUUUCCUUUUAGCUUUAGAAACAGGAACUUAAAGAGGGGCUUCAAACACGUUUACCAACGAAAUGCAUGUUUUUCAAUAAUGUUUUGGCUGUUUUGAGAUGUUAGUAGAAACAGGUUUUACUCAAAAUGUCACACAGACAAAAAUAAGACCACAGAUAUAUGACAUGCAACAGCCUUAACCUUCAUGAUUCUGAAUGGUUUUCCCCAGAAAUUAAAACACUAUGUCAUCAUAAAAUCUAACAUGAAGACAGCUGCCCCAAUUUUGUUCUGGAUCUUCUUGGUUAAGUUGAGCAUCUCGUCCAUAUCACUUGCUCAACUUAGCUUGCAUGCACGGAUAAAACUCUUAGCCAAUAUUUCAUGAAUUUAACCCCAAAGCCACACAAACUAAUUUUAUUUUUCUUUGGACUUCAGCUACUAAACCAUGAUUGACAGUUCAAUGAGAUUUGAGUAUGCAAGGAAAUUAUGAAGUUUUCUCAAGACUUAUAAAAACAACAGAAACCUAAUUGAACAUUCUUCUGUUAGCUUUUCUGGCAUCCUACAAAUGUUUGGUAAUGUGGCUCAGAAUUGUUAGUGGUAUAAGUGAUGUAGUGUUUGUAAUGUGGCUGAGAAUUGUCAGUGGCAUAAUUGAUGUAGUGCUUGAAAGAGUGUUUGUAAUAUAGUCACAUACCUGGAUUCAUACUUUCUUGCCAAAAGGUGCCCUUAUGACAAAUAAAGUACUCCUCGUCCUUCGGUCUAGAUUAUAGCUUCCCUUUCUUCAGUAAUGGCUUCUCAUCAAUAAAACAAUACAUCAUUAUUCUACAAUCUGGCAACUCUUACAUACUGUUCUGGAACAGUCUUUCUUAUGCUCUAAACCUUGUAAUCCUAGAAGUAUCAGUAUCCAUUUCUGGUUCCGGCCCUCGAUCUCCUGGUCAUGUAUCCCUCCAAUCCACAGCCAACUUGAAUGUGCCUUGUGCUUCUCCUCCACUCUUCCUCAUUCACCACCUUCCUAACACAAUCCUCCAGCUUCUCCCUAUCAUCGUCACAAACUCCAGCAACAAGCAAGUCCCAUGUCUCCACAUGCGGGGCCACCCCCUUCGUUAGCAUUGUUUCCAGCACCCUGCAAGCCUCGUCCACCUUCCCCACGCUACAAAACCCCUUGACCAAUGCAUGAAACACUGAGAAGUGCGGUACGAGUCCCUUCCCCACCAUAACCUCCAGAUACCCAUGACCCUGAUCAUAUAAUCCUCGUGAGCACAAUCCAUGUAUCAGUGUCGUAUAGGAGACAAGAUUUGGCAAACAUCCAUGAUCAGGCAUAUCCUCGAUCACCUUACAUGCAUCAAGCAGCCUACCUUCACGACAGAACCCAACGAUCACCGUGUUGUAAUGGAUGAUAUCCGGGUUGCAGCCGCGUACCUUCAUGCGGCACAGCAUCUUGUAGGCCUCGUGGAGCCGCUUCUUACGGCAGAGGCUGUUCAGGAGGGUGGUGUAGGUGAGUGAGUCAGGGACAUAGCCUUUGUUGAGCAUAUCAUCGAGCAGGUCGUUGGCAGUGCCGACCUGGCUCUUCCGGCACAACGCUUGCAUUAGGAUCCGGUAGGAAGUGACGUCGGGGGCGAGGCCGACGGUGAAGAUGCGGUUGAAGAGGGAGUACGCGACGGCAACGUUGCCAGAGCGGGCGAAGGCGUGGAUGAGAACGUUGUGGGCGCGGACGGAGUCGGGAACGCCAAAGGAGGCGGAGGACUUGAGGAGUGAGAGGGCGACGGGAAGGGAUGAGGGGUGGGCGGCGAGGGCGGAGAGGAGGCGACGGAAGAGCUUAGGGCGGGGAGGGGAGGAGCUGGAGGGGGAGGAGAGGAUGCGUCGGAAGGCAGAAAGGGCGAGGUCGGGGCGACGGUGGCGGGAGAAGGCGAGGAAGACGGAGGAGAGGAGUGCGGGGGAGGGGGAGGGGAGGCAUCGGAGGAGGGCGGAUGCGGCGGAAAGGUGACCGGCGCGGGCGAGCUUGAGGAUGACGGAGUGGAAGGAAGAGGGGUGGAGGGGGAGGUCAGGUCGGAGGGAGGAGGCCACCUCGACGAUCUCCUUGGCGAGGAGAGGGUCCGACUGAGCGGCGAUCAGCUUGUGGAUGCGUGCCGGAGAGCCGAUCGACGGUCGCGACGGUGUUGCCUGGUGGUCCGCGGCGGACGAGGAGAUGAGGCGGGAGGAGAAGGAGAGUGGGAAGACCUUGCGAGGGAGCGAGAUCCGUGGAGCCAUUUCGUCUCGCAGCUCGCGCUUCGCAAACGGAAUAGAAAUAAAAGGUCAUCUUAAUGGGCCUCCGGGAUCCAAUUUAAAGCCCAAUCAGAUCACAAACAACAGACGACAGAAGCAUGGACAGCAUCGGAUAUGCACUCGAGAUGUUCGAAAGAAUGACUGAGACACGCGACGGCGGUUCUCCAUCAGACAUUACAAAAUAAAUAGCAUAUAUGUGUUUUCAUGUUGGUUUCUAAGGAUCUAUUAAACAAAGCAUCUGCUAUUAUGGUAUAAGAAUUUAAUCAUAUGAUCCACAAAGGUAAACAAGUAAAAGGGUUUGAGUGUUCGAUGAGACCGAGGAAGAAGGGACAGCUUUCCGCAAGAGAACGAGCACUAGACUCAAGGUGCCUUGGGCUGGUUAUGCUUGCUGUACUCCGCUUCUUCCCUGAACUCCACCGACUUCAUUCUUCAUCUACCCUGUCAUCUUCAUUCCCUGGAGAGACAUGCUUCAGAGAUGCCUCUGCUGCUCCCCAUCGGCCAAACACGGGGCAGAACGAACGUACCGUACAAGUUCUGCUCACAGGAUAGCAUUUUGGGAUCAAAUGAGAGCCAUGACUAACCUUGCAUAUCUAUACCUUAAACGAGACACUUUCAUGAAGACGAGAAGCUCGGAGAAGUUGGUAGAACUAACAGAGGACUGACUGUUCAUUGAUCGUGUAGGUCUGGUCGCCAUGAAUUGCCUUUUAAGGUCAUGACAGCCAAGGAAUCUCGUGAGCCUUCGGGGUUUCUGUACAGGUAGAGAGGACAGGCCUUCCCAGCCAUCUCCACGGCCGAGCAUCUUCUUGAUUGACCCAAGAGGAGGCAGUCGAUCGCCAUUGGAGCCUCUGAAAGGACUAAGUCAGAUCAUGUGUCUCUGAUGAUGAUGAUCAUCAUCAUCAUCAUCGUACCAUGUCUUCAUUAUAACAGUGUCCUUCACAUUCUCCGUGAGGCAACGUGCUCCUUGGUUCUAUGCUAGAGUUGCUUAUUACGGAAUCACAAAGCUGAAGACGGGAGGAGCGAACACGACGAGAGUGAAUGGCAAUGUAUGCCACCUUGCACCGGAAUACGCCAUGUAUGGGAAGGUCUCCGAGAGCCGCUGCAUGCAUGGCUUCGGUGUCCGGUUGCUCGCAACUGUGAACGCUAGGAUGCCUAUUGAGAAGCUGCUGGAUGGUGGGUUUUGCCUCUCGUGAAGAAGGGCGCGUGGUGGCGCUCGCCUUGCAAUGCAUUGAUAUCAACCCCGAGCAGCGGCCCACGACGGAGGAAGCGGUGGAGCUGCUCAAAGGUGGUGAUGUAGAAGGCGAUAGGGGAAGAAGAGGAGGAUGAGGAAGAGCUGGAAGACCUCUACAAUUAGCUGGAAAACCUUUAUCCUGAAUAUGUGCAUGCAUUGCAGAUAUUGGUACUGAAACCUUAAUUGAGGGAAAUCUUAUUAUUGUAUAUUUAUGAUCUAUAUACCUAGGGUUAUUGUUAAUCACUUGAUUAUUGUAAGUUCAUGACUGCACUCCUCUCUCUCUCUCUCUCUAUAUAUAUAUAUAUAUAAAUUUAAAGUGCUUUUCUUGUUCCUACAGUAAUGAUAUUUGUUCCAUGUUGAUCAUUGAUUUUAGAUUGAAUAUAAUUGCCUAAGCCUGAGAACGAGGAAAGCCAACAUCAUCUUCAGAAUAGUGAGUGAGAAAUGGCCAACCUGCACCCACAUCACACAAAGAUAGCUUAAUCUUUCCCCUUCAUAAAAUCCACAUACUGCUUUGUCAACAUGGCUUCCAUGCACUAAGCUCUAAGAGAAUAGGGUUAAUGUAACUAGUGGAAACUUGGUUCUCACCCCAUAUAUUUUCACUUGAUGAGAAAGAACACAAGGCAGUUACUAGAUUUUGUGGACCAAUGCAGCUCUGCAAGAGGUAGAAGAAGGAAAAGAUACAGGUAAACUUGGCCACAAGGAGGAAAAGCAACUAUGUUUUUUUCUAUCAUGUCAACAGUGCAGGUUCUCUUGGAUGCUGCCAUCUCCCCGGUGCCUUUUCAGAUCAUAGGUGAGUUAGAAGCUAUCGAUCGAAGAGCCUAAACCCAAAGGAAGUAGACCUAACCCUAACCUAAUCCGACCUUGAGAAUCUUUUAGGUCUACGAGUGGGUUUGCCAUGGUCUCAAGUUAUUCCAGCAUCUCGAACAACACCAAGGGAGGAAUCAUCUGGUCAUCACUUUUGUGGGGAGGAGUCACAUGCGGCCACUUGCCGCCACCUUCAAGCUUCGAUGUCACCUUCCUCUUGUUUAGGCAUCCUAUGUUCACCUUCCUCCUGUUUUGUCCUCUAACCUGCGUCAAUCUCAUGCACAAUUCAUGCUUCCAUCCCCAGAAGAGCAGAAUGACAGUCCAGUUCUGCAUUAGAACAACAUAAAAGCUAAGGAAGAAAAGCCUCCGGAUGGGAAUCAUGGGAGGAACUUGUUUUAGGUUUUCUUUUAUGUAUCUUUAGUCUUUGCUUGUAUAUCCAGUCCAUUAACUUAUGAAGUCCAUUGUGCAUUAGAGGAAGGACUCAUGCACGCAUAACAACAACCAUUACAAAGUCCAGCCGUGGAGUAUCUCACUGUACAUACCGAGUAUAGAAUCUUGUGUUGAGCAAUCCAUGAGAGUGUUCAUUUCAUGCUCGUCAGAAGGAGACAAGACAGAUCUAGUGGGUGCCCAAGAAGAUUAGAUGACAAGCGAGGAGACUAAUUUUAUACAAGAGAGAGAGAGAGAGAGAGAGAGUAUACGACAUAGGAUGGUGGGGGGCCCGUGCUAUCAGUCUGCUGUGCAUUCACUCCUCUCAUGUCAAGGCUAUCUCGUAUGAUGACGUAGGAAAUGAGUGGGCACAGCUGGACUCUGUUUUGAGCACAGUGUCGAUUCUAGUUCGAAUCAUAAGCAGGAUUACACCUUUAUCUUUUAGUCAGACUACUUCACUAACCAUAAGAAAAACGUGUAAUAUGGUUGACUAUUAGUCAAACAAGAGCAGUAGUUUCCUGUGAAGUGAGAGAAUGUGAUCUACAUACGAGUGAGGAGUAGGCGACAGCAGCUAUCAGACUCUACAUACGUUACAGCGUACCGUAUGCAUCGUGCGGUGGUGGUCCAAACUGCAAAGUGCAUGAUAAGAUCAGGACCAUCAAAAGGACAUGUUGGCCGGGUUUGAUGGAUCUACGCAGACGAGAGAGAUUAAUGGAUCUACGAUGGUUUCGGAGCCAAGGAAGAUCCGAUCCAAUUGCCAUCGAGAGUUGCAUUAAUAUUCGCGUUCGGAGUUGGUGGUGCAGCAGCGGCAGGACACGAUGGGCUUCACAUGCGCCGCGGUGACGUGUAAUUAAUGUCGGGACAGUGAAGAAGGGCUUUAACAUGCACGCGUUUCAAAGCCGCCGCUGCUGCUGCUGCACCCUCAUUUGCAGAGGUUCUUGUUGGUGAUCAUGAUCCCAAGGUAGGGUUAGUUAAAUAUGGGGAUUUGGGUCGUCUCAAACCCCGUCUUUCUUCUCCCUUCUUCCCUCACAUCAAGUGAUGCAGAGAAAGACGAUGAGAAAGAGAGAGAGAGAGAGAGAGAGAGAGAGAGGAAGAGCGGAAAGGGAGUCAACCCGGGUAGGACGCACAUGGCUCGAGGAGAUGAGAGAGAGAGAGAGAGAGGAACACAAUUAUUGGGAAUCCAACGAAUGAAUGGUACAGUGACUACGCUUGGGUUAUAAACACUGUUGUAAACGAUGGAAAGAGGUUUGGGUUAGAGAGAGAGAGAGAGAGAGAGAAAGAGUUAUGUGUAGUGUAUACUCGCCUUUGCCAGGAAAUCGAUGAUGGGAAUUGGAUCUCAUCUAGAUUUGGUACUUAAAUAUUUAAAGAAAAACAUAUGAUGAUAGUAUUUUUGAUAAAUAUUUAUAUAGUAUUUUUUAAUUAUAUAUUUUUUAAUAAUCAUUUUAUCUCUAUCUCCUAUCGGACCUGCUUUCACUCCUAUAUCACCGCAAUCAUUGUCUUCUUUAUCUUUUGCUCUUGUAUAGUAAACAAUGAUAACAACCAUGUAUGACUCUCCACUAUGUACGAGAGUCAUCGUCGUACCUCUUUCCUCGCACAAGGGUAAGAUAGAUUUGAUAGGAGUUAACAAUGUAUUCGGAAUCAACAAUAAGUCUGGCAUGCAAAGGAGAAGUGAUGACAAAGAUGACGAUCAGUUUGACAAAAAUAAAGAUAAAUUAAUUUUUUCACAUAUAAUAAGGGAUGCUUUAUUAAAACUUUUAAAAGUUAUGAUGCUUUGCAAGAAUUUAUUAGAGAUAUAAGCCUAUUUUUUUAGAAUUCAACUAUGAUAGUUUAUAAACUUUUUUUAUUUGAUCGAAUGAUUAAUAGUGAGCUUGAAUAAUCAAAUUAUCUAAUUUUCAUAUCGACUAUCAACUCGACGUGAUGUGUUAAGCUAUCACAACUCUGUUCUUUUAUGGACAUCAUACUUGAAUCAUAUACUGUAAAUUAGGGAUCAUAGCUAGAAUACUCAACUUAGAUUUUUUAGAAGUCAGAUGGUUUGAAUCGAGAUGAAAUUCAACUUAACUUCGAGACACAAUGAUACAAAAUUAUAUCGAAAGCAUACACGAUAAGAUCUAAAUAUUUGAAAUGGAAUUAAAGUAUUUGAUUAGUGAGAAAGCUUUUAUCUUCCCUAAUAUUUAUGACGAUGAGGUUAGGGGAAAAUAUUUUUCGAGUCAAAAAUCAUUCUAAGAAUACAUGUAAAUUCAAGUAUUGAUUGAUAAUACUCCCCUGUGUAAUGCAAUAUAGAUAGAAUUAAAAUGUAAUAUCAUAUGAACUCAUCAGAUAGAUAUUUGCUGAUUCUACAUCAAAAAAAGAAUUAAAACAAGGUAGAAUUCAUUGCUUUUUUACUAUCAACUUCCUAAUAUCUUUCUCUCUCUGGCUGUGCAAAGAUGUCAUGGUGUCUUCUCUUGAACAAGUUCAUUGUGCAUUUGCAUUUGCAUUGAUGUAAGUAAGCUUCUCUUUAAAGGACGAGAGGGGGAGGAAAAAAGUAUGCUUCAAUUGAUAUGAAAAGUUUGGAUGCUUUCUGUGGUAAAGCGGAAGAAAAGCUUGCGAGUUGUGCUAAGAGAAGCGAACUUACCUACCAACCUUUUUCCAUGGAUUGGCUUUUGACGUGUUGUGGACGGCAAUAAAUUCCUGUUGUAACUUGGAAGUACUUCCGCCAUGUUUUAAAGAUGCUUCCUUUCCAAUAUGUUUGUUUCUCAUUUUAUUCGCUUUCACCUCACCCUUCCUCUAUUAUCUCCCUUGCACAUACGUGCUGAGAUCAUAUGGAAACCUUCUCUCGGUCAAUCAUCCUCACCACAACUCAUCAAAAAUUUCUGAUAGGUGAAAUCUAUUUUCGUAAGAAUUCAUCAUUUACUAAUUAAUUAUCUUUAGUAUUUCGAUCUUUAUAAAUUUAAAUAUUAUAUUAAGAUUUUUAUAUUUAUGAAAAUAAAAAUAUUUAACUUUGCUUGACGGAAAUACCAUAGUAUUUAUCAUUGAACAUGUUAUCUCAUUUUGAUUUACUAUUGAUUAUGUACGAUAUUUUUAUUAUGAAGAGAAAUAGAAUGAAAUAUUUUACUUUCAUGAGUAUAAGAAUCUCAAUAUAAAUUUUAAAAUAUUAAAUAUAAAUAAUUAUAAAAAAAAUAAUAUAUAAUUAAUCUCUUUAAACAGAUGCAUUAGUAAUGACAACCACGUUAGCUAGCAAGAGGAAGAGGAUCUUAAUUUGUUAAGAUGGAUAAGUAUCUUAUAAUUUAUAGAGAUAAUGUUUAAUAUCAAUACGAGAUAAAAUUUCCAUAAUUUUUUUUGAAAGUUAAGGUUUAUUUUUUUAAUAAAUAUAUUAUAUAUAUAUUUAUUUACUUACUUUUGAUGCAAGGAAAAUAAAAUAUAAGAAAUACUUUUUAAGUACCUCAGGAUUUAUAUAUAUAUAUAUAUAUAUAUAUAUAUUUAAAAUAAAUAAAAUAAAAUAAAACUUUCGAAUUUAUAUGAGAUGAUAUAUAAGUAAAUUAUAUAAGUAAGGUAUUGUAGUUGAUCAACAAAACAACAAGUAGUUGGUAUAAGAUUUGGGAAGAAUCCAUCUCAUCUCACCUAUUUUGGUGAGUGGCGGUCGGAUGGACAGUGGAACGACGACGACGACAACAACAACACAGCAUCGCUAGAAUUCCGUGUGUCGUACAGGGCAGUAACGAGGGGAUGUGGGUAAAUUAGCAGGCGAUAAGACGCGGUGGUCACAGGUAACUGGAGACGCUGUUGGCUGUCUUCUCGGCCAACAGGGAAGACAAGCGAGCACAGCAACACAGCGCCCGACUUCAAAAGUGGGCAUCCGUCACGCAAAAGCACCGGGUUUUCCGGUUAAAAAGGACGGCCGAACCCACGGCCCGAUCCCCGCCGCGUGGCCGCUUCUUCGCCGUCCAUGAGUCGGACGAUCGGAUGGCUUUCGUCCGCCUUCCGCUUUACCUCUCUUCCUCCCGCAAUAAUGCGACAACCGAGACUUUACUGAUCUCCGUCCGAUUUCGAGCGUCGAAGACGAGUCAUUCAUUGACGGGGCUUCAGAGAGGCGGGGGAACCGGAAGGCGGAGGGAGAACUGAGAAGGGUAUGGGGAUCGAGGAAAGUGGUGGAAACUGGAAAUAGAAAGAGGAGAAAGUAGGGAGCAAUAAAUGGGGAAUCGAGGCGGCAGCACAGCCGUCUCCAUGGCGGCGUUGCAGCAGACUCUCUGAUUUCUUUCUCCCUUAAACUACCAUUGGUUUCGGAAUUCAAGAAAAGGGAGACUGCAAGAGGAGAAGUCAAGGAGAGAGAGAGAGAGAGAGAGAGAGGAGUCAUACAGGGAAGAAGCCGGCAGCAUCGACUGCUCCACUCCUGCUGGCUGUUGGGUGCGUUGUGGUUGCAGAGACAAAAAAGCAGCGGGACAAAAGAAGAAAGAAUAGAGCAGAGGUGGCAGUGGCCAUUCUCGCUCCGUCUUGGCUCUCCUCUUUCUUGCUCCCGCGUUCCCUCCUGAGAUCGCUGUCCCACCUCCCCUAGAUAGCAAGGAAAGGGUCGCCAGCAGCUAUGGAUCGAGUAUAACUAGUCCGGUGGGGGAGUAAUCAUGGCGGGGUUUUUUCUCGGAGGGGGCGGUGGCAGCCAGCAACAGCGCGGAGAGCAGCAAGGAGGAGGGAUCCCUCCGUCGGAGAGCUUCUUUCUUUACGGCGUUCGCGGAGGCCGGGGCGAGGACGUCGCUUACACCCGAGGCUUCGAGCUGUGGCAGCACCACCAGAUCCAGCGGGAGCAGCAGCUGUACUCCACCGCGGGCUUCCCCGAUGAGCUGCCGUCCGUGGCGCCGAGGCCGGCGAGAGGAAGCCUGGGAGGCGGCAGCGGGGUGAUGAGCUGCCAGGACUGCGGCAACCAGGCCAAGAAGGACUGCGCCCACAUGAGGUGCCGGACCUGCUGCAAGAGCCGCGGCUUCCAGUGCCCCACCCACGUCAAGAGCACCUGGGUCCCCGCCGCAAAGCGCAGGGAGCGCCAGCAGGAGCUCACCGCCUCCGCCGCCGCGGUGCAGCACGACGAGCGCCACCGCGGUGGCGGCCGAUCCACGGGCGAAGGCAGCAGCGGAGGGGGCGAGCCUUCCAAGCGGCCGAGGGAGAUCACGGCCUGCACCCGACUGCCAGCCGCCAUGGCUUCGACCACCACGUAUGGUACUACAAUUUCCUGCUACUCCCAAGCAGUGCCCGACACUGUUGUUGUUAUCUGAGCCACUAUUUGCAGAAUCCCUUGCGCAGUUCCAUUCUUUCUGCUACACCGAUCACUCCCUCCCUCACUCCCCACCACAUGUUGUUGAGCUCGCUCUUUCCUUUCUACUUACUUGGCUGGCUAUGGCAGGAGGAAGCCUGGACCCCGAGAGCUUCCCACCGGAAGUGAGCGCGCAGGCGGUGUUCCGGUGCGUGCGGUUGAGCCACGUGGACGAAGCCGACGACAUAUACGCGUACCAGGCCGCCGUGAGCAUCGGCGGCCAUGUGUUCAAGGGACUUCUCUAUGAUCACGGCCCCGAGGCCGAGUACCCAUCGUCCUCCUCCUCUCGGUACCAGCUCCACCACGGUGAAGGCUCUUCCUCCCCCGCAGCGGCUGCUGCUACUGCUAUAGUCAGUGCCAGUGCCAGUGCCAGUGCUGGAGAUGCCGCCAUUGCGACCACUGCCACUGCUGCAGCCACCGAAUUGCUUGAGCCUUACCCGACUCCCUUAAGUGCCUUCAUGGCCGGCACGCAAUUCUUCCCCCACCAACACAGACCAUAGCGGAGAAACCUACGAAGAGGAUGCCAACGCCAAGCACGUCUCCUUCACGACCACAGGUCACGUCCGUGUUAUUUAACGUGCCUCAUCUGGUCACCAAUUUUUCUUAUACCAUGCAUUCCUCCUCAUCAUCCGGCAAUUGUGUAAUCUCUCCAAAUAAUUUCAAGUUUUCUCCUUCUUGAUCACUCUCUAGCAUAGCAAACUUAGAGCAGGCACUCUUCUUGUUCCUCACCUAUUAGCAUCUUCGUCUUCCUUUUGACGUCUCGUGUUGCUCUAUCUAUAGUUUGGUCCCAAGAAGAUGGCCGUCUUUACGGGAUCUGCGGGAUAUGCUUCGGGUUCGGAAAUGGACAUGCCUGGAUUUCUGUUUCACAUUGUUUCAACCUCGGAAACUAUAACUUAGACUGCGAAGGACUUGCUUGAGUUGGUUCCAUGUGGACAUGAUGGCCAUGCAUGGAGUAAGCUGAAUCCCAAGAAGCAGAAAGCCUUUUACCACUCUUCCUCGUAGAAAUGUUUCCCUAUAGUGUAUGCUGCACCUGUGGCAAUUUGGAUCUUUCAUGCUACCUACGGAUAGGGAUGAGCUCUAGCAUGUGUGCUCCUUCUCUCUCGAGGCUAAAGUGACUCCGAAUGGGAAAAAGAAGACACAAGAGAUCAACCUUUGCGGCUGUGCCUCAAGUAAGUAGCUUAGUUUUAAUUUGUAUGAUUUUAAUACAACAACAUUGUACAGUCCCAAAAACUGUUCUAUUUCUUUUUGAGGUUGGUCUUUCUUCCUUUUGUUUUCUCCUUCUCGAUACAAGAUUCCUUUAUAGGUUACUGUUGGACAUGUCAAAGCUGCUGCUUGUGUAGUUUCAAUUUUCUACUUUAUUUGCCUCUACCUUUGAGCUAAUCCACAACAUACCUAUUAAUUACUCGAUUGCAUCCUGUGUUAUACCAUCAUCGUAUGUUCUCUAGACAAAUGACAUGUUUGACAGGUACAUCUUGUUUUCUGAUGGUGAACAGAUGUUUGAGUUGCUAACCUGUUCAUAAUUUUGUGCAGCAUGUGUAUAAAUAAGCAUGCAUCAUCCUUAAACUUCUUGCGCAAAUUAAGUUUAUCUUGUUCCAUAUCUAUGGAAAUUCUAAAGACAGUAGUGAAACCAAAUGCUUUGUUAUGUACCAAAAACUACUCGAUGAUUUGUCGGUGUCCUGAUUUCCUAUUAAAGUCAAUUGUCUAUUAUUGUGUGUUUUUUUGUAUGUUUCAUACAACAAGUAUUGUUAGUCAUAACAAUGUAUUCAUAAGGGGUGGCAUGACCUCUCAAGCUUCACCCGAAAAGCAUUUAUUUUAAUCUUUUGAAGUUCUUUAUAAAUUAUUUCAAGGGACCAGAUUUGAUGCAACACUGAAUAACUAUUUUUGUAUUCCCUUAACAAUGGCAUUUUUGCUGACACCAUAUGAUUUGAAUUUUCAGCAGGAAGUUUAUGACUUCUAAAAUUUAAAGAGCAAAAAGGAUAUUGGCCCUUCGUCGCGCACAUCUUUAAAAGGCGAAAGGGUUAUCGGAUAUUAUUGUUCUUAAAAUUCACUAAAAUUGAGUAGUCCUAAGUGAAGCACAAAAUUACAUAAAAAUAGUAGAUAAAAUCAACAAAAAGGAAAUACCAGGUAAUUUUGUUUUGAAAACUCAAUACGCAUUUACUAUGAUAAAAGAUGAAUUAGGUGAGAAAGUACUUCUCUUCAAGUUUUUUGCUUGCUCUGAAAGAAUCAAACCUGUGAUCAAGGGAAACUAUGACUUGCUAAAUAAAAAAUUCAACAAUAAAUUGGGUUUCUGUAAAUUAAAUGAACAUUUUGGGCUUAAAAACUGUAUAUAUGUUUACCUUGGUGUAUGUGGGUCUGUAAGUUCUUGCUACUUUCAUGAUUAUGCUAGUUCGGCUAUGAAUGUGGAUUCAUUCUGUUUUCAUUUUUUUUAUUGCCUUCUGACUACAUCUAAUUAUUUAUUUGUCAUUGAAAUCAUCUUUCCUGUGAGCUAGCAGAUCAUUUACGUGGAUGUCCUAGCUUUGAUCCUCCUCCGUCGCGACCCUCUCUACUUGUUUUUUGCGUAAUCCAUGGCUUUUGGUAUAUUAUCAAAACUUCUGAAUUCUUAAGGGUUUAGAAGCUACUUGUGACCUUGGUUGCAACUUUCUCAUGAACUUUAUAUGCUGCAAAUUAAAGAUAUAAGCCGUAGCAUUGUACACGAGUGCAUGCAAGCGAUGUUUUAUAUGUUCUUUGUAGCUAUAAAAUUAUUAGUGCAUGAUAUAGUUGAAAAGUUCCGUUUACAAACUUCUACAUUAAAUUUAGGCAUUUGAUUUGGUACUUUAAUCGAAUUAAGAUGCUACAUUAAUUGGAAAAAAGAGAAAGAAAUACUAAGUUGUUUCAGGGAAUAUCUACUGAUGAUUGAUUUUGCUUGAAGCCUUCAGUGUCUUUGUUGAGUUAAUGGCUUGGUGGGUCUGGACAUGAAUGGUUAACUAAUGUUAGAGACCUUUUUGUUUCUCUUUUUCGAAUAAAGAUCAUACUAGACAUUUGAUCAUUGCCAUUUUAGCUCAUGAGACUGACAGAGGGGAACCCUAUUGCCGUUCAAUCGACCGAGGAUUUCAGCUCUCUCAAUAGCACCCUGUAAUGUGCCUAGUUGCGCCGGUUAAGACCGAUACACAUAUAUGUAUGUUGAUGGUUGGUUGGUGCAUGGCACUGUCUUUUUUCUUAUUACUCUCAGGGCAUUCUACUGAUGGUAGCAUAAAUAAUGACUGCCAUGGAAUGCAUAUGAACAAACGAUGUUAUCUUGGAAUUCAGGUUAUCUUUACAUGACUCUUCCAACCUCUCAUGAACAUAUCGAACCAUUGACAGCAUUUUACAUUUAUGAGGAAUUACACAAAUUCCUACCUGGUUACAGAAUUCUGUCAUCCUGAUUUUAUCCUACAGUCACACCAUGUAAUUUUUCGCAACAAGAUUACCUUUGCAGUGUUUCUAAAUUGUCAUUAGGCAUGCAAAAAUACUAUAGCUUCAUGUGGUGAGGGAAUGUCUCCUGGAUAAACUUGGUGUUUUGGAGAUCCCAGCUGCAGUUGUUUUCCUGUUGGUCUGCAAGAAGUAAACAGCAGAGUGCUCCAACUGUGAGAAAAUGUUCUUCUUCUGCUCUUUGUUUUGGUUUGCAAAACAUCACUUGGUAGAGAGGCUUUCUUCUCCAGUCAGGCUUUCCAUAUGGAUCAAAUUGGUGUAUGAUGUUAUUGUUAGCUAGCUCUUAAAACGAUUUACACUAUGUGAUUAAUGUUUUGUCAUGUCAAGAUUACUGAAUUAGGUGGUGUAUUGGAUGAAAAGCAUUUGAUAAUGUAAAGGAAGGGACAAGAUUAGGUUGGAACAUGCUUUUUUGUAUGUUGUUGCUGGAAGCCUUGAGGGUUGACAUCUCAGAAUCACCUACAUAACCUAUAGUUUGUUGGAUUGUGAUGAUAAGGGGGAAUGAGAUACCAGUCUUAUCUCUGGUAGUGACUGAUCACUACCCUAAAAGCAGGUCUUCUUUUCUUGGUAGUGGAGGGGAGGGCUAAAGCUUUCCCCAUCACAAAACCGUGGUGAUGUGAAGACCACGAAGCAUUUCUUUUUCCUUUUUCUUUAUCUUCUCAAAGUACUUGUUAAUGAUGAUGGUACCAUUACCAUCAAAUUCUUUCUGGUGGUAGAGUCGGUGUAACUAUCGGUGGGGGUGCAGAUGAACAGUUGGGUUCCUUUCAUUGUGUGCUCGAUGCAAUCUACUUUCCGUAUUCAAAGAUCAGCAGUUUGUCUACGUGUUUGUCACUGACAUGUACUUCGUCCCUGCAUGUCCUCCGAUCCUCCUCCCCUCGCACGAUGAAUGGGUGAACAAAGAAAGCUAUUUUGGGUGUAUCGAUUCAUUUGAUCGGGGGACUUGUGGUAACGUCAUCUUAUCAACAUUUAUGUCGAAUAUUUUCGAUUAAUCGAGUCUCGACACGUAGAAUUCAGCUAGUUAUUAAAUUAUAUUAAACAAAAUAUUCGAUCUGUAUUGUUGCAUUCGAUCUAAUUGUUAGGAAUUCGAAUUGGAAUCUCAGUUCGGUGAUUGGGUUAAAAGAUCGAACAUUUCAAGUAGAGGUAUUUAUUUUUCGGCCUUGAAGAGAAGGAAGGGUUGAAGGCUGAGCCGUAGCACUCGCCUCCCUCCUCACCAACCCCCCAUCACGUCCGAGGAGACAUGAGUACAGAAACAGCGGGAGCCAUUGCCGACCUCUCUCUCUCUCCCUCCCUCCAUCUCUCUCUCUGUGGGCGCAGGAAAGCCGCCGAGGUGGGGGAAGGAAGCGGCAAAAGUUGCGUCAUGUGAUAGGCGGGCCACGCUCUCCAUCCUCUCCGCUGUAGCGCUCUCUUGUCAAGACUAUUUUAUUGCCCCUCAGUUCCACUGUCUUUUCUCUCUCUCUCUCUCUCUCUCUCUCUCGCGACGAAGAGACGGGUGCAUGCAUGCUUGUUUGCUUGCAUCGGGUGGCUGGGGAACACAGAGGACUGAGAGAUCGAUCAUCGCAGCAGGGAAAGCAGGCGUGCAGAGCUGAUGGGUUCUCUGCACCCGUGUCUGGGAUCUGCUGAGUCGACUCGGUUUACCAUGGCGACGGUGGAUGAAGCCGAUGAUUGCCCCGUCGGCGACAUGUCGUAUCCCGCCGUUCCACUCUGUCGCCGACCGCUUUCGAUCGAUAGAUAGGCUCAGGCGGAGGGGUGGGGUGGGGUUCGCCUGUGUCGCGGUCCAGACAGGAAACGGUUUUCCUGGUGCCCGAGAUAUGGAUUGACGUCAUGGCGGUCUUCCUGAUGAAAGGCUUGGCGUGGGAUGAACGUGUUCCCUGUCUCGGCCGAGACAAGUGAGCUCCACCCCAGCCUACGUACUCCACAUGCAAUCUAACCAUAUAGGCCUGUCGGGUGAUUAUAUCAUCAACAGGUGUCAUAUAUAUAUAUAUAUAUAUAUAUAUAUAUAUAUAUAUAUAUAUAUAUAUAUAUAUAUAUAUAUAUAUAUGGGUUUUAGCAGAAAAAAACGAAAGAAAAGAAAAAAUAUUCUCAAAUUCGAGAAAAUGUGCACAUGACUUUGGUUGUGAGGUCACGUGACCAUUGUCCCGACGACAAGUGAGGUCAUUCGGGCAAUAGUCAAAGUGUGUCCAUUGUCAAAUAUAGC
rnacentral:lncRNA from 1 species